GACGUAGGUGGCGAACGUUAUCCGGAAUUAUUGGGCGUAAAGGGUGCGUAGGCGGCAUGAUAAGUUAUUGGCGGCAAAUCGAGGCUCAACCUCGUGGAAACUGAUAAUACUGUCUUGCUUGAGUGCAGAAGAGGUUAACGGAACUCCAUGUGGAGCGGUAAAAUGUGUAGAUAUUACUUAGAACACCAAUUGCGAAGGCAGGUCACUAUGUCUUAACUGACGCUGAUGGACGAAAGCGUGGGGAGCGAACAGG
rnacentral:rRNA from 1 species